rnacentral:rRNA from 1 species
UACGUAGGGUGCGAGCGUUGUCCGGAAUUACUGGGCGUAAAGGGCGCGUAGGCGGUUUGCUAAGUUGAAUGUGAAAACUCUGGGCUUAACCCAGAGCCUGCAUUCAAUACUGGCAGGCUAGAGUUCUGGAGGGGAUAGCGGAAUUCCUGGUGUAGCGGUGAAAUGCGUAGAUAUCAGGAAGAACACCGAUGGCGAAGGCAGCCAUCUGGACCGACACUGACGCUGAGGCGCGAAAGCGUGGGGAGCAAACAGG